rnacentral:rRNA from 1 species
CAAUAGCGUAUAUUAAAGCUGUUGUGGUUAAAAAGCUCGUAGUUGGAUUUCUGUCAAGGACAACUGGUCCGCCCUCCGGGUGAGCACAUAGUUUGGUCUUGACAUCUUGCUGGAAGCUGUUGCUGCACUUGGCUGUGUGGCGCAGUGUUCAGCACUUUCACUUUGAGGAAAUUGGAGUGUUUCAAGCAGGCACAUGCCUUUGGACACAGUAGCAUGGAAUAAUUAGAUUGGGCUUUUGCUCCAAUUUGUCGGUUUCUGGAGCUGAGGUGAGUAUUAAUGGGGAUUGUUGGGGGCAUCCGAAUUUAGCCGUCAGAGGUGAAAUUCUUGGAUCUGCUAAAGACGGACAACUGCGAAAGCGUUUGCCCAGGAUGUUUUCAUUGA